rnacentral:rRNA from 1 species
CAGCCGCCACGGGAAUACGGAGGGUGCAAGCGUUAAUCGGAAUUACUGGGCGUAAAGCGCACGCAGGCGGUCUGUCAAGUCAGAUGUGAAAUCCCCGGGCUUAACCUGGGAACUGCAUUUGAAACUGGCAGGCUAGAGUCUUGUAGAGGGGGGUAGAAUUCCAGGUGUAGCGGUGAAAUGCGUAGAGAUCUGGAGGAAUACCGGUGGCGAAGGCGGCCCCCUGGACAAAGACUGACGCUCAGGUGCGAAAGCGUGGGGAGCAAACAGGAUUAGAUACCCCUGUAGUCCCUGUCUCUUAUAC